rnacentral:rRNA from 1 species
CACGUAGGGCGCGAGCGUUGUCCGGAAUUAUUGGGCGUAAAGAGCUCGUAGGCGGCCUGUUGCGUCCGCUGUGAAAGCCCGGGGCUUAACCCCGGGUCGGCAGUGGAUACGGGCAGGCUAGAGGUAGGUAGGGGAGAAUGGAAUUCCCGGUGUAGCGGUGAAAUGCGCAGAUAUCAGGAGGAACACCGGUGGCGAAGGCGGGUCUCUGGGCCAUUACUGACGCUGAGGAGCGAAAGCGUGGGGAGCGAACAGG